rnacentral:rRNA from 1 species
GACGAACGCUGGCGGCGUGCUUAACACAUGCAAGUCGAACGGAAAGGCCCUGCUUUUGUGGGGUGCUCGAGUGGCGAACGGGUGAGUAACACGUGAGUAACCUGCCCUUGACUUUGGGAUAACUUCAGGAAACUGGGGCUAAUACCGGAUAGGAGCUCCUGCUGCAUGGUGGGGGUUGGAAAGUUUCGGCGGUUGGGGAUGGACUCGCGGCUUAUCAGCUUGUUGGUGGGGUAGUGGCUUACCAAGGCUUUGACGGGUAGCCGGCCUGAGAGGGUGACCGGGCAGGGUGGGGCUAUGAGAAGCCCGUGAUGCCUGCUAGAGACAGCAGUGUGGAAUAUUGGACAGAGGGCGGACGACUAAAGGAGCAACACGGCGUGCAAAAAGGAGAACGUCGGAUAGUAAAAGGCUAUCGCCUGAAAAAGAGGGAGGGUGGCGGAAAGGUGUAGAGGAGCAACAGCUAGUUAGGUC